rnacentral:tRNA from 1 species
GUAGACGCUACGGACUUAAAAAUCCGUUGGCUUUUUAGACCGUGAGGGUUCAAGUCCCUCUACCCCCA